AUCCUCACAACGCCAGAUUCAUCAGGACUAAUGUCAGAUUCCUUAACGAGCCCAUCGCUCAUAUGGAGACGAGACAUACUGAGAUAGAACAGUUUAACUGGUGGUCAAACAGUCCUAAAGAAGAUCUUCCCGUGAAAGCAGUUUACAGUAAAGCCAGCACUCAGAGAAGUGAUUUCCAGGCGAUCAGAGACGCUCCAGUCAGAGAACGAGAGACCAACAGACCCGCAGCAUCUGGAAUCGUUCCUGCUCUAAGUUCCCUUGACCAAUCAGAAAAGCUCCAAGAUUAUCAUAAACCUGAAUGAUUGUUGAAGAUUACACGAUCAACCCUAAAGGAAAGUGUCACAAAGGGUUCGUGUGGAGAGACAGGAGGCGACGGGGCCCGGGACAUUCCAGAGCACAGAGGGGUCACGCUUGCCCUCGGCAGGGACGGCAGACCUGUUGAACUGCUCUCAGCUGGCCUCGCUUUCAGCUCAACAGAUGUGGGAGAGAAAAGAGGUCCGUCCCACCAGAGAGACCCCAGAGAUGAACCUUCCCAGACACGGAGGGGAAUCCCUUUCGUUCGGCUGGGACAGAGAACUGAACUCAUAAGAACAUAACCGGAUCAUAUUUCACCUCAAAACAGAAAGGAAAAAAUGUUGUAUAACGAAAGAUGAUUAUUUUCAUGAAGCACAUGAAGCACAAAUUCUCAUUACGGUAAUCUAAAAAUAAUUGAUAUAUAUUAUUUGUUAUAAUAGAUAUUAUUGAUAUAUUAUACAUAGAAUACACAAACUGAGUUAGUCAUAAUCAGUUCAGCUCAACUUGUACUGUUCGUGUUACUGUAUGUUCAGAAAGUUUCACAUAUGCAUUAUAUGAGUUAUUUUCUGUACUAUUACAGUACAUGUUCAUAUUUUGAAUUAGCUUUUUUGUUAUAAUUUCAGUCUCCAAUUAAAUUUUUGUUACUUUUUUUUUUUUUUACUUUUUGUCAUUUUAUUAUUAGUUUUUUUCAUAUUUCUAUUUAGAUUUGUUUUUAUUUUAUUUCAAUUUCAGUUUUAGUUUUGUCAUGGUUUUUCUUUUUUUUAUAUACUAUUAUAAUAUAUAAAUAUAAUUAGAUUUUAAUAUAAUAUAUAAUAUAAAUUAAAUUAUAAUUUAUUUCUAAAUAUAAAUUAGAUUUUAUUUUUAACUAUUGUUUCAAUUUAAAUUGUAGUACUUUUUAGUAAUGUUAUUACUAAAAUGAGUAAUUUUUAUGUUUAGUUUUUUAAAUAAUUUUAUAUCUAUUUAGCUUUAUUUUAUUUUCAGUUUUAGUUUUAGUAAUUUUAUUGUGAUUUUCUCAUUUUAUAUAUAUAUAUAUAUAUUGCUUUAUUUUAUUUCAUUUUAGUUUCAGUAAUUUUAUUACUUCAACUUAUUUUAUUAUUAUUAUUUUAGACAGUUGCCAAGACAGCAUUUCUAAUUUUAAUUUAAUUUCUUUAGGUUUAAGUUGUACAUCUAAUAUUUAUAUUUAACUGAUAUAUUAUUUGUAAUACAUAUUAUUUAUAUAUGCAUAUACAUCAUAGUAGUUGCAAUAAAAUAACUACAGAAUAAAAGGAAUUAAAUCGC
ensembl:lncRNA